rnacentral:tRNA from 3 species
UGGGCUGUAGCCAAGCGGUAAGGCAACGGACUUUGACUCCGUCAUUGCGAUGGUUCGAAUCCAUCCAGCCCAGCCA